rnacentral:rRNA from 1 species
AGCAGUAGCCGCGGGAAUACAGAGGGUGCGAGCGUUAAUCGGAUUUACUGGGCGUAAAGCGUGCGUAGGCGGCUUCUUAAGUCGGAUGUGAAAUCCCUGAGCUUAACUUAGGAAUUGCAUUCGAUACUGGGAAGCUAGAGUAUGGGAGAGGAUGGUAGAAUUCCAGGUGUAGCGGUGAAAUGCGUAGAGAUCUGGAGGAAUACCGAUGGCGAAGGCAGCCAUCUGGCCUAAUACUGACGCUGAGGUACGAAAGCAUGGGGAGCAAACAGGAUUAGUUACCCCUGUAGUCCCUGUCUCUUAUAC